rnacentral:rRNA from 1 species
UACGUAGGGCGCGAGCGUUGUCCGGAAUUUAUUGGGCGUAAAGAGCUCGUAGGCGGCCUGUUGCGUCCGCUGUGAAAUCCCGGGGCUCCAACCCUGGGCGUGCAGUGGAUACGGGCAGGCUGGAGGCAGGCAGGGGAGAACGGAAUUCCCGGUGUAGCGGUGAAAUGCGCAGAUAUCGGGAGGAACACCGGUGGCGAAGGCGGCAUCCUGGACCGGCAUUGACGCUGAGGCGGCGAAAGCCAGGGGGAGCAAACAGGG